CGUCUAUAUACGUAUAGCAUAUCAAUAAGCGGAGGAAAAGAAACUAACAAGGAUUCCCUUAGUAACGGCGAGUGAAGCGGGAAGAGCUCAAAUUUGAAAUCUUCAAGGUUCUACCUUGACGAAUUGUAGUUUAUAGAAGUGUUUUCUGUUAGUAGAGUGGCAAAAGUUCUUUGGAAUAGGACAUCAUAGAGGGUGAGAAUCCCGUAUUUGGUCAUUCUUUCUAGCUUUGUGAUACACUUUCAACGAGUCGGAUUGUUUGGGAAUGCAGUCCAAAAUGGGUGGUAAAUUUCAUCUAAAGCUAAAUACUGGCGAGAGACCGAUAGCGAACAAGUACCGUGAGGGAAAGAUGAAAAGAACUUUGAAAAGAGAGUUAAACAGUACGUGAAAUUGUCAAAAGGGAAGCGUUUGACACCAGUGUUGUUUUCUCGAAAAUCAAUUAAAAAUGAGUGGGAUGUUGUGUUGUAUUGACUUUAUCAGCUUUCUGCACUUUUUUUCCUUAUCCUUUUUAAUGCACUUUUCGUUCAACAAGUCAACAUCAAUUUCUUUUGUUGUAAAAGAGUCAUUGGAAGGUGGCUUUUCUUUCGGAGAAAGUGUUUAUAGCCUUUGGCUUCUGCAAUCGGAGAGAUUGAGGUCUGCAGCGUAGAUCCUUCGGGGUUAGAUAGCAUUUGUGCUAAGUUAUAGCCUUUUCAUAGACAACUUGUUGACUAUGUUCAGUCAUUGUAGCUUACUCGCUUAUGCUAUUUUACCUACGCUUAGGAUGUUGAUAUGCAUGACUGAUAU
rnacentral:rRNA from 1 species